rnacentral:ncRNA from 1 species
CAGCAACAUCAGGAGUGCUCUGAGAUUAGUUUCAGAGUCGCCAACCGAGCCGAGAUAAAUUGAGGCAACGGUGGUUUGAUCCAUAAACGGUAGAUGUGCCCAGGAAAAUGGGAAUAAGAAUAAACCGCCU